rnacentral:rRNA from 1 species
AUGAUAUCCCGCAGUUUUGGUGUCAUAUCUACCAAGUCUGACGUUUACAGCUUUGGGAUGCUGCUGCUGGAGAUGGCAGGAGGACCGAGGAACGCCGACCCGGAUGUGGCGAACUCAAGCCAGGCAUUCUACCCAUCGUGGGUGUAUGACCGGCUAACCAGACAGGAGCUGGGCGAGAUAUCUGCUGAGAUGCACGAGUUGGAGAGGAAGCUGUGUCUUGUUGGGCUACGUUGCAUCCAGAUCUAG